rnacentral:rRNA from 1 species
ACGCUCGACACCUACGGUAGGCAGCAGUCGGGAAUAUUGCGCAAUGGAGGAAACUCUGACGCAGUGACGCCGCGUGCAGGAAGAAGGUUUUCGGAUUGUAAACUGCUUUAGACAGGGAAGAAAGAAAUGACAGUACCUGUAGAAUAAGCUCCGGCUAACUACGUGCCAGCAGCUGCGGUAAUCUGAGCGGGCUGGCAAGGC